rnacentral:lncRNA from 1 species
CAAGAAUACCCUAGACAAGGAUAGGAAUUUUCAACUCUCAUCAUUCUCUGUUACUUAAGGCUCAUGGCAUACAAAUUGAAUCAUGAUUGAUAAGUUAUUAAUAGAGUCUUCUGCUUGUUGCACUGUUCCUUUAGCUGGAGACUUGACAAUCAUGUAAUUUAAAUUAUGCUAAAGUCUAUGAAUAGAGGUGAGUACGAUGAGCAACUGGGUCAUUCGUCUCAUACACAAAGACAUUCAGAAUGAGUUAAUGGAAUUCUCCACUCUAAUUCAUUCCCGAUUUCUUAAGGAUCAUGUCACAUAACUUUAAUCUUGAUUGACAAGCUCUUGAAGAAACACCUUUGAUAUGACUUGUAUAAUCCACUGCUUGAUUUGUCUGUGAUGCCUUGCAUGAAAGUUUGGACUUGGGGCCUUAAGAUCCACUGCUUACAGAAAUAGUCUUAUCAAGUGAUCAAGGAACUUUUAAUCACUUGAAUAGUCUGAGGGAUUAUAUAUGAAUCAAAAGAUUUAGUUAAUCAAAAUUUCUUUUUAUCAACUUGAAUCAAAGGGUUUAAAUUAAAUUGAGACUUAUGGCUAAUCAUGUACAACCUAAUCUAAAGGUCAAUAACAUGUAAAAAUCCUAAUUAGGGGAUCAUGCCACAAUUUGGGAUCAAAUUAACAAUGAUCAAAAUAUCACAUGAAAAAACCGCUUAAA